ensembl:snRNA U1 U1 spliceosomal RNA
UGACACCUGGCAGGGGAGACACCAUAAUCAAAAAUAUGGUUUUCCCAGGGUGAUUUCUUAUCCAUUACACUCCGGAUGGGCUGAGCCCUGCAAUUUACUCAAAUGUUGAAAACUUGACUGUGUAAUUUGUUGCAGUGAGUGCUGGUUCACGCUAUCCUCUGG